CCAUAAUUCAUGUGUUCCUGUCAAGGAUUAAUUCCCAGUCCCUUUUUACAGUUCAUCAUCCAUUGUCGGGGAAGCUUUUGUCUAUACUUCUAUUAUUGAUUUAAAUGUCCCCUGUUCAUCUUGCUUAAUUAUAAUUUUUGGUCACAUGACAUUUUUCAAGUCUGAUGCAUACAUGCAAGAAGUGUGCAAUUUUAAAAGUUACUUCGUUGCACUAAAUCUCUACUGAUACACUGCUAAGUGUCUUAUUCCUUCAACAUAUGGUUAUACGUUUUACAUUCAUGUAUUAAGGUCCUCUCUCUUUUGUAUCAGCUACCCUAUAUGUCUUUAACAGUGACAUAUACACAUCUCAAACUGCCACGGAGAAAGAUUGAAGCGUGCAUACGGACUUGCUGGACAAGCUGUAUUUUUUGGUAUGAAGAGAUUGGCUUUCUGGCCAGUAAAAUUAUUUUUAUGGUUCUGGU
rnacentral:lncRNA from 1 species